rnacentral:rRNA from 1 species
CCUACGGGUGGCAGCAGUGGGGAAUAUUGGACAAUGGGCGAAAGCCUGAUCCAGCCAUGCCGCGUGUGUGAAGAAGGCCUUCGGGUUGUAAAGCACUUUCAGUGGGGAAGAAAGCCUUGGGGCUAAUACCCUCGAGGAAGGACAUCACCCACAGAAGAAGCACCGGCUAACUCCGUGCCAGCAGCCGCGGUAAUACGGAGGGUGCGAGCGUUAAUCGGAAUUACUGGGCGUAAAGCGCGCGUAGGCGGUCUGAUAAGCCGGUUGUGAAAGCCCCGGGCUCAACCUGGGAACGGCAUCCGGAACUGUCAGGCUAGAGUGCAGGAGAGGAAGGUAGAAUUCCCGGUGUAGCGGUGAAAUGCGUAGAGAUCGGGAGGAAUACCAGAGGCGAAGGCGGCCUUCUGGACUGACACUGACGCUGAGGUGCGAAAGCGUGGGUAGCAAACAGGAUUAGAUACCCCAGUAGUC